GGAUAAUUAAAGAUCCUGAGGUAAAGAACUAACUGCAGCUUGAUACGGUCUGAAUGUUUGUGUCCCCCAGAACAUUCAUAUGGUGAAACCUAAUCCCCAGUGUGAUAGUAUUAGGAGGUGGGGUCUUUGGGAGAUUAUUAGGUCAUGAUGGUAGCGACCUCACUGAUGGGAUUAGUGCCCUUAGAAGAGAGACCCUGAGAGAUCCCUUGGCCCUCUGCCAUGUAAGCAUGGCCAUCUAUGAACCAGGAAGCAGGCCCUCACCAGACACUGAUUCUCCCACAUGUCGUGAUCUUGGACUUCCCAGAAGGGAUGGAAGACCUCUCUAGCCAAUGGGAAGAUGGCAAGAUGUGUGAAUGUACCCCUGGGAGCAAAAUCACAGAGCCUGUGUAAUCCUCUAUACAUGUAGGGACUGAGUGUGGGUAUCUCUGGCCAGUGUGGAUGUUGACCACGUUGUUUCGUAACCCUGCCUCACUUGCUCCUCUCUCCCCAACCUCCAGAACUGCCUAUCUAACUCAUCUGUGGUGAUGGAAUGCUAUUUCUUUCACAUUACCCUGAUUAAGUAUCAUUAGAAAGGUAACUGCUGUGCUUAAAACAAA
rnacentral:lncRNA from 1 species